UUAAAGUUUAAUUUUGGUUUAAAUAUUUGAUUUAUUAUUAUUCUAUAUGUAUAAUUUGUUAAAAAUUUAUUUUCAGUAGUUAUUUUUAUUAAAUUGUUAAUUUAAUUUUAGUAAUUAAUAUAUAGGUCUAAUUUAAUUUGUGCCAGCAAUUGCGGUUAGACAAAUAGUUCAAUUAAAUAUUUUUGGUUAUAAUAAAUUAUUUAUUUUUUAAUUAAAAUUUUAAGGUGAAAUUUAAAUUUUAUUUUUUUAUGAGAUAAUGAUUUAAUAAAUUUGUAUUAUAAACUAGGAUUAGAUACCCUAUUAUUACAAUAAUAAGUUAAUUUCUUAGUUAGUAUUAGUUAUAUUCUUUAAAGUUAAAAAAUUUGGCGGUAUUUUAUUCAGUUUAGAGGAACCUGUCCUGUAAUUGAUGAUCCACGAUAUAUUUUACUUAUUUUUACUUGUAUAUCGUUGUUAAUGAAUUUCUUUUUAGGGAAAAUUUUCUUUUAUUUUAAUUAAAGUAAAUUUCAGAUCAAGGUGCAGUUUAUAAAUAAGUAGAGAUGGGUUACAAUAAAUUUAUUUUUGGUUAUUAGAUUUAGAUUUUUAUUAUAAAUUGGAUUUAAUAGUAAUUUUAUUCAUUUAGGUAAAAUGAUUAUUGUUAUAGAAUAUGUACAUAUUGCCCGUCGCUCUCUGUAUUUGAGAUAAGUCGUAACAUAGUAGAUGUACUGGAAAGUGUAUCUAGCAUA
rnacentral:ncRNA from 1 species